UUUUACAUCUUUGAAAGAUGUUGCUGGGAUAGCAGGGUACUAUACAGUAAAACCUGAGAUUAGCUAGGGAGAGUUUAGGCGCAGUCACGCUUGUACAGUCUUGUAGUUCAUAGGAAAAGGGCCAGAUUCCUGUAAGCAGAUGAAUCCUCUCCUGGUGCUCACCACUUCUGAUGUUUUAAGAGCCACCAGGAAACCACUUGGGCAGCAGCAUGUCGAUACUCAGCUAGUGUAUGUUUGCGUACUGUGUAACUGCAUUUAUUUGGAACUAAUUCUUCCCUUAUAGGCCUUACUCCCCAGAAAGAGAGAGAGAGAAAAAAAGCUGUUAAAUCUAACCCAUAAAAUGAAUAAAUGUCAAGGGGAACCAAGUCCUAUGUAGUAGAGGAAUCUUCUGGUUCUGGAAGUGCCAAUGGCUUUGAGUGAUGGCAGAGCCAGGACUUAGGCAUUUCUCACUCUUCUAAGAGCACAGGAGGCAAUCUGGCUAACGCAGGAGACACCUUGUGAGCUGGCCCACUAUCUCCUGGAGCAGAAAUAUGUUGGAAAGAACUUGAGCCUCUGAGCGGGGUCAGAUUGAAUGUAAUUUCACAUACCCACGUUUUUUUACCCUCCUUUUACCUCCCGGUUGUCAGUUCUCAUCUUAUGUUUGACACUGGAACAAGGCCCUGUCUCUGGUUGUUCAAAGCUGAUGCCCGAAGCUGCAGCCUCUCUGAGGAGCUGGCUCUGGUUCAUCAUUAUGCUGCUAUUUACGUAGCCAUUUACACCCAGAUUCCUACUCAAUUGCACUCUGCAUAUAUCUCUGGUAUAACUGAGUGUCUGGAGUACACCAGCAUCAUGUCUACUCUGCUUCCUACUGCCUCUGUUCUCCAAAAUGAAAGACUUCAUAAUCAGUGCUCCAGGGGAGUUCUGCUGCUCUUAUCUUUUCCCUUGACAACAGGGUGGGGCAAUGCAAAAAGCCCAAGUCCAGAAAGUGUGGUUGCAGCAGUGAGAGUGAAGGUGGGUGUAUCACAUGCACUCUUUGAGAGGACAAGGGAUGGAAGAAAAGGCAAAAAUGACCCAUUCUCUGAUAGUAAAACAUAACAUCUGGUCCACUGACAGCCUGUGAUCUGAGUCAUCACAUUUCCUUCUCCUAUAACUGCUGCUGCCACUUUUCAGGGGGUGGAAAGUCCCUUUAGCUCAGACCUACCAGUGCCACUUGGCAGCUGUGGUGAUUUACAGGAGAGAAGACUCAUCGUCUUCAACUGCCAAGGCAGGAUCUCCAACUUCAUUGGAAAUAUUUUACUCCCUAAAUGAUUUAGUGCUCAAGCACAAGGUGCUCAUUUUAUCUCUCUUUUUUUAGCCCUUUGCCCAUGACAGACUGGAUCCCAUGCACAAUCUGUUUACACAGCUACAGUGUCAAACAAGACAGGUGAAAGCUGCUCCAUUUUUCAUGAGCCCUCCUGAGCGAUCUGCUGGAAGACAACUGCAUAGCCAAUUGCUGUGUCCAUUUUGCUGGCACCUCCAGCAUUUUGUGCAAUGUCUGAAUCUCAGCAGGCACCUCACACCUGCUAAUGGCUUUGCAAGUCAGCCAAUCAAUUGGUUAUUUAUGGCAGGCAUGUCUCAAAACUGUCAGGUCAAGUUUUCCUACCCUGGCGUAUUUUGUUCAGAGGAACAUGUAAAUCCUCUCCUGCCAUUUGCCUUCUGAGUGUGAAGCCAGUGGGUUAAAGUUUCCAGUGAUAGCAACAAACUGUAUUAUAAAGGGUUUUUCUCCUGACAGUUAGGGGCUUGGGCACUUUGUGAGUCAUGGGUCAGUUCAUACCGCAAGAUUUAUAGGCAUUAAGUUCUCUUUCUAGUGUCUUUUAACUCCAGGGUUUGAAGUCAUACCCAAGGAAAUUGAGACCUCUCCACUAUUCCAGUGUUCUUCUAUUUAGGGUGCUUUUCUGAAAUGUCAUGGUGACAUCUUAAUUAGGUGCUCUAAAAUGAGAUACAAGAAGGGGUGCGGAAUUCCUGCACUUGCAAAGUUUCAUCCUGCAGCUCUAAAAUCUGUAAGCUCAUGAAUGGGAGAAUGAAGCACUUCAUGCAAGUGAACUCUGGCUUUCAUUAUAAAGCCUCUAAAGACUGUAAUGCUCCAGUUACUUGCAGCUGUGUACAUCUAGGUGCUACACCAAUAUGAUUCAAAGUUAACCAGACUUCCCAAUCUUGAAGACUUUUCAGUCUUGAAGACUUACUUAAACACUUAAACACGCUAACUACCUAAGAACAAUUAUUUAAAGCAGCACCUACUAUGCACAAUGGACACCUUAGUCAAUCACAAAGCAUGGGGUAAGACACUGUUUAUAAGUGGAUGAGACAGUAUCACAGUCAUCUUUCUGUUCAGCCUAUACUGGUAUCUUUUCAACAUAUGUGCAUGUUUAGAAGUGAAAACAAAAAAAAAAGUCUUAUAAAAUCAAGUGAGGGAAAUUAAAAAAAAAACCACCACAUUUUCUAAAGCCAUGAAUAUUGUGCUACAUUUCAGUGAUUUGAACAAUAAAUUGCUUACAAAAAGACACUAACUCUUGAUGACAUGAAGAGGAGGAGAUCUUGUUUGCUCUCAUGUCAGAAAAUAAGCCUUUUCCUAGGAUGUAAGCAAUCUUGUAACUGAUAACAUACUGCAAACACACCUUCAGAUUUCAACAUUUCUAGAAUUUGGAAAAGAUAAUCUUGCAGAUCAAAGCUCUUCAAGUGGCUUUGCCCCCAACACUUAAAAUUAAAACUAAUUCAGCUGAAGACAACAAAUACCUGUCUGCCAAAAUUUAGACUGAUCCACAAAAUUCCAUAUAGAUAAAACCAGGGGUGCCUUUCUCUGCCUGUGGCCAGCAGCCUGUGCAGAAUAGUAUGGGAUUCAUUGUCUUCCUUUCCCCAGAGCUCUCAAGAAGUGGUGGCUGGACCUGCUGAAUAAUGAUGAGCCAGUUGUAAAGGCUGCCAGGGCCAGGAGCUGUGGGUAAAGUCCCAGCUUCAUGCUGGGGUUGUGGUGGGUAACCUAAUCUACACUGCUUGUCACCACUCUGGGUGAAGAGAUGGCCAAAGGGAUACACUGUGGCACAGUGGAUGGAUGGACAGGACUGUGGUGGCAAUGUUGCAGAUGAGAUGGAAAAACUGAGCUGCUUUGGCCAGAAGCCUAUCCUGGAUUUGGAUUCUCCUUUUGCCUUCCCCCCAUGAAUGUGCAAUUACUGUUCUGCUUUGCAGUACAGAAGAGCAAGAUACUC